UACCAGUGAUGCCGAGCAGCUCAUCGAAUUAAAACAUAAUCGAAAUAUUCAUGUAAAAUACUAUUAAUAUACAAUACAAAUUACAUUCAUGAGUGAUAAUACAUUUGGAUUCGCAAAUUCUUCGCAACAUUAUACAAAGAGUAUGAGUAUUCUUCUGUCUAUAAUUAGCACUAUAAAUUAUUUUAACUUAUACAGCAAAUGUCUACGGCCAUACCUAGGCGAAAACACCAGUUCCCGUCCGAUCACUGCAGUUAAGCGUCUGAGGGCCUCGUUAGUACUAUGGUUGGAGACAACAUGGGAAUCCGGGGUGCUGUAGGCUUCCUUUCAUUACUGUAUUCAUUUUUUUUACAUUACUUACACAUGUUAGUGAACACAAUGAAAGCAAACGUUUCUAAAAUGUUUCAACAGACACGGCAUGGUAUAUUAAACACCGGAAUGUC